rnacentral:ncRNA from 1 species
CAAAAGUUUGGUCCUGACUUUACUAUCAACUUUAGCUAAACUUAUACAUGCAAGUAUCCGCACCCCUGUGAAAAUGCCCUUAUCUUCCCCACAAAGAAAGGAGCUGGUAUCAGGCACGAUGACUAUCAGCCCAAGACACCUUGUAACUAGCCACACCCCCACGGGUAAUCAGCAGUAAUUAAUAUUAAGCAAUAAGUGAAAACUUGACUUAGUUAAAACCAAAAAGGCCGGCUAAACUCGUGCCAGCCGCCGCGGUUAUACGAGAGGCCUAAGUUGACAACAUGCGGCGUAAAAAGUGGUCAAUUGUAUAAAAAACUAAAGCUAAACACCCUCUUGGCUGUGAUACGCACCCGAAGGCAAGAGACCUGCUCACGAAAGUAGCUUUAAAUCUAAUUUUACCACGAAAGCUAGAAAACAAACCGGGAUUAGAUACCCCGCUAUGCCUAGCCCUAAACAUAAGUGUCUAACCACAACACCCACUUGCCAGGAAACUACGAGCCCCAGCUUAAAACCCAAAGGACUUGGCGGUGCUUAAGACCCACCUAGAGGAGCCUGUUCUAGAACCGAUAACCCCCGUUAAACCUCACCCUUCCUUGCCCCCCUCCGCCUAUAUACCGCCGUCGUCAGCCUGCCCCAUGAGGGCCCCAAAUCAGGCACAAUUGGACCACCCCCAAAACGACAGGUCGAAGUGUAGCAUAUGGAAGGGAUAGAAAUGGGCUACAUUCAGUGAUCCCCUGAAUACGGACAAUGUUUUGAAACAGACAUUUUAAGGAGGAUUUAGCAGUAAGGAGAAAACAGAGAGUCCUCCUGAAACUGGCCCUAAAGCACGCACACACCGCCCGUCACCCUCCCCAAAAGCCCCUCAAACUUAAAUAAAAAAUACCUUAAAAAAAGGGGAGGCAAGUCGUAACAUGGUAAGUGUACCGGAAGGUGCACUUGGAAAAAC